CACAAUUCCCAAAUCCUUGCACUAGGUGGGGCCAGCCUCCUGUUGUGUAGACUCAUCAACUAUACCAGUCCUCUGUUCCUGGUCUCUGGAGCUUCAAUUUGGGAAAGUGACCCAUUAGCUUCUGAGGACCAGGGUGAGAGAGGGCAAACUUGAAUGCCCUUCACAAUGGAGAGAUGUGUGCAGACCGGACAGACAUCAGUUCCUUUAUCAGUGCACAGGUAGCUGCAAUGCCUGCAUGUGGAGAGAUAAAACCCAGACAAAGAGGCAGACAUGAGCAGAUGAGCUCCCCCGAACAGGAGACAAGUGGGCUGAGAGGUGAAGGAAGAGGAUGAGGGCAGCCACGAACGCUCAAUGAGACAUGACAAGUCAAGUGUGGAGCCCAGGCCCUUCACCCAGAGGAGCUCAAAAAAUAUUAGCAGCCGUUACCAUUGGAGCCUCUGCCUCCUAAACCUGCCUCAAUAUCUAUGGAGGGUGGGAGCAGAGUCACUUUUCCUCACUGGACCUCAGUUUACUCCUCAGAAAGACAGCAGUGAUGAUGCCCUCUCAAGAUAUCCUCUAACUCCAGAAUCCCUGUCUCUAUUGAUCGUGUAGGAUGAGGCAGUCCAAGUUAAAACAAACACUUUGUUCUUAGUAUCUCAUUUCAUUUUCAUAAAAGCCUUAGAGGACACACGCUUUUCUUAUCCUCAUCUUACAUAAAGGUAAACCAAGGCACAGAGGGCUCAAAAGGUGAGGAGGGAUUCAAACCUGGCUGUCUAGACCCAUUGCCCACAUGGCUAACCACCCCAUAACCUGCAAGGAAAAAUGAUCGUUGUCAUUCCUUCUGCAAAAGAAGGAUGGCUGCUUGUUUCACAAAGGUUAAAGUUAUUUAGCAAGGGGAGCUCAAAGGGCUUUGACUGCAUUGCAGCCUGGGAGUCAGAGCAGGAAUGGAAAACAACCAUGAGCCGGCAUUGUGUCCGGACCCUUCCAGGGGUUCCUUGAAAGGGGCUAUUUUCCUUUUAUUCCUAUGCAGGGGUUGGCAAACUUUUUCUGUAAAAGGCCAGAGAAUAAAUAGUUUAGGCUCUGCAGGC
rnacentral:lncRNA from 1 species